ACAAGAAGACAAAGGGAAGCAAUGUCCCUGCAACAGCCAAGUUACAGCUCUUAUAACGGUUUGUAGUCACAUGCUUUUACCUUGGGGGUGUGCCAGGCCUUGCUGGACAACCCAUGGGAGAUAGCAGUAAUCUGAAGCACGAAGGCUAGCCUUGCCUCCUGCUAAAAAAAGAGAAAAGCAGUAACAAAGUGCAAAACUCUUUAGCGGAUCUGAGCCAAAUAUACAAUCAAAGAUAUGCAGUGGGAAAUGCAUAAGUAAGGGUUAUUUGGUUUAAUUAAAAUGUAUAAUCUACUUUCCCAUUCUAAAAGCAGUCCUCAAUAUCCCCAUAAUACAUUCCAAUAUGGGGUAGCCAUAUCCCCCCCAAUUUGUUCAUGAAAGACACAAAUCUAAGCUGUCAAACUCAAUUCUCUAUGGAAGUUCUAAACUGGGGUGUCUAAGGUUUCUUAAUGCAAAGCAGAAUUUAUUAAUUAUCCCUCUAUUGGCUGAUACGUUUAUGCUCACAGCUUACUUUAAAAACAACAUAAAGGGCAUUAAAAGGUAGCAGAUCUAAAAAUGCAGCAUAAAAAUAAUUCAAUAGGACCAGUUCAAAAAAGGACACAGACUGGGAAAAUAAAAUUACCUGGUGUGGUGAAGGUAUCAGAGUGGGACAGCAUUCCAAGGCUGUGUGCUACCACUGAAAAGGCCCUUUCAUUAUGACAGGCUAGUCACGGCAAUUACUAAAGCCAGAAUCCAAAUGUUUCACUAGUGCAAGGAGUUUUAGCUGUGUGAUAGAACUUCCAUACACUCUCAUUUCUGCUUGUGGCUCCUGGGGAUUUUAGGGGGUGGGUCAUGGAAAGAAGAAAAGGUGGGAAGGUUCCACCGUGCAGAUACAGUGGUACCUCGGGUUAAGAACUUAAUUCUUUCUGGAGGUCCGUUCUUAACCUGAAACUGUUCUUAACCUGAAGCACCAGAUUAGCUAAUGGGGUCUCCCACUGCUGCCGUACCGCCGCAGCUCAAUUUCUGUUCUCAUUGUGAAGCAAAGUUCUUAACCCGAGGUACUAUUUCUGGGUUAGCAGAGUCUGUAACCUGAAGCAUCUGUAACCUGAAGCGUCUGUAACCUGAGGUACCACUGUAAUGUUAGUUGCUGAAAUUGCACUUCCAAGCUUGUGUCACAGGAGAGCUCAGUGAAUUGUUUUGGCAACUCAUAUCUUGUGGCACCUUAAAGACUAACACAUUUUAAAUAAUGGUAUAAGUAUAAGCUUUCAGGCACUUUACUUCAUUGGAUCAACCGAUGAAGUGGACAAUGGUCCAUGAAAGCUUAUGCCAUAAUAAAUUUGUGAGUCUUUAAGAUGGCACAAAAUAUCUUCCCCUUGAGACCAGCUUUCUAUGACAUCCCCAUCUCCAGGUGUCAGGGUCCAUUUUGACAGUUGUGAACACUGCCAUCCCUUGGGGGUCACUAUUUCUUGAUACUUCUCAAGGUGACAGCUGAGGGACGCUGCCUUCUGAAGUAAUGACAAGAUCAAAGCUGAAUGUUCUGAGACCCCAGAUAAGUUAUGCAGUUGGAUACUGCUAUGGCUAAGGCUGGUACUGUCAUUUCCCCAUAUCCAUUCUGCCUAAUUUCCAUUGCAACCUUGGAACAGUCUCAGCUGAAUUUGCGUAGGCAGAUAAAUACAGUGCAUUUUCAUGUGUAUUGUUUACUGUAGAUAUCUAUUUCUCCCAUUUAGGCUUCUUAAGUUGGCCAAAAUAGCAAUUGGAAGCUUGCAUGAAAGUGAGGAUGCAGAGGUGAUACCAGUAACAGUUGGUGAGGUGGGGCAGCGUUGCUCACCAGGCUUCCCAACCCUGAGUGUCACUCCCAGUUACCAGGAGAGGGAAGGAUGCAGCGGCAAGGAGCUUGGUGCAGUGUGAGCAUAGUGGCAGGUACAUCAGAUUGGUUCUGCCACUGCACUUGCCACUGCUCUUGCACUAAGCUCCUCACUUUCUCCCCUUCUUGCUGUCGGUAACGGGCAGAGAUGCUUGAUGUUGGGAAGACAGGUGAGCGGUGCUGCUUCUCCUGCAAGGAGAAAACUAGCCCAGCAGGGAGAUUACUGGCACAGAACAUUUCUCCAGGAUGUGUUCAUUUUCUCCUUCCAGGGAGUUUUUAUAUGCAGGCAAAGACAAAAGUGUUGUUUCCUACCAUGAAGUGCUGGCUGCAGCCCAUUCUUUCACCUCAGUGCUCUACCACCUCCUUUCACUACAGGUUUAGCUGACAACUAUUAAUAUUUUCAUACAGUGUCAUGUCUGCACUUGGCAUUUUACAAAGAAUGAGCAGAAAGGUCCCUGACCAAAGGAGCUUAAAACAGUAGUUCUUGAAGGGUGUGGUACACCACACUGGUGUGAUUGUGAGUGCCUCUCUGGUGUUUCUGCUUUGUCGCUUUUAAUUUGAUUAAACAUUUGUAUUUUA